GUGUCGCCGCCGGCGGGACAGACCGUGGGUGUCCUCGUCAUCUGGGGAAGCUCUACUCGGCCCUCUUCGCAUCGUUCCUCCUCUUCUCGCCAUCGCACGAAGUUCUGAGUUGAGCUCGUGGCGUCGCCAUCGCGAAGGGUUCCUCCCCUCCUCGCCGUCCAUUGUUUCUGAUUCUCUGCUCCUCGCCGGUAGUAGUUGCUGCGUGUAUUGGCUUUGAUGUUUGUGCAAAGGAGUUGAAGAUUGAUCAGCCUUGAAGUUUGGUAAAUGUGGUGAUUCAUAUCUUCAAAAUUUGCUUCAGGUUGGAGAAGGUGGCACCCAACUUUCUGGAGGACAGAAGCAGAGAAUUGCUAUAGCUGAUUGGGAGUAGCAAAGGUGGUUGAGAACGACAUGUUUGUUUUGAUGAACAAAGAACGAACAUGAAGCUAAGCUAAGCUAAGCUAAAAUACUCUGAGUACUUCUGUGACAGAUUCAAUCUCAAGCUGCACACUGCUGGGAUCAUUGCUGCCAGUUUCGGAUUGGCGAAUCUUUUCUCCAGGCCCGGUGGAGGGUUCAUAUCUGAUGCAGUUUCAAAGAGGUUUGGAAUGAGGGGUAGGCUCUGGGCCUUGUGGCUUUGCCAAACAUUCGCUGGUGUCUUCUGCAUAAUUCUUGGGCUUGUUGGAUCUUUGAGUGUUUCUGUUGUUGUUAUGAUCAUAUUCUCUGUGUUUGUUCAAGCUACUUGUGGCAUGACCUUUGGAAUUGUUCCUUUUGUCUCAAGACGGUACUACUAUUUCAGCACAUGAAUGAUCUGGUCUUAGAGAAUAUUUGUGACCGUGUGAGGAAAGCUGGGAUGAUGAAGAAGAAGAAGCAGCAGAAAGAGCAAGUGAAGUGAAUUUUGCAGAUGAGAUAAGUGGAAUUAAUAUAGGACCUCCUUCACCAACUUCAUCUAUUAAUUAUUAGAGCAGCGAAAAUUGUUCAAAUAAGUUAGGAAAUUGAAUAGGAGUUGCUUGCAAUAUAGGUCUUUUAAUUUACUAGUAUGAGGAAAAUCAUUUAGAGCCCUUUGGAUACUCAUUAACAACUUUUAAUUUAUUCAAUAUG